UUUCUUUCUUCUCAAAAUAUGAAAUCUAAAUCUUAAAUUUUCUUCAAGGAUUUUAUGUCUCCAGAAGCUCAAGUUACUGGGUUAGUACAGUCAAGAAAACAGAGAUCAGCUCUGACGCUUCUUUUUAAGUUGUCAUCUCAGAUGUAGUCAUAAAGUAUGGUUGACAAAAUGAGGUGAAAAGAAAUGUCUGAGGAGAGAAAAUUGCAUUCUCUAAAUCAGCAGUGUUUAAAACUUCCACAUAGUUCUUCAAUUUAAAAAGUUUUUCCACUAAAGACACAGACAGAAAUUUACAACUAAAUGCAGAACCGUCCCUGGAAGGAACAAAGCAUAUGGCACUGGUUGACUGGAAGACAGAAGGGAGCAAGUUGUUCUUUAACCUCAUGAUAAGGUUGAGUUAUAGUUCAUUAUUUUAGGAAUACAGUUUUGAUUCUCUCUGUUCAAGAGAGAUGUUGAAAAAUUGGACAGGGUUCUGAAAGGCAACAGUUAUGACUGGAGAUGUAGAGAAACUGACAUAAGAAGAAACACUGAGAGAAUUCUGGCUGCCAAACCUACAGAAUAGAAGCAUGAGGGAUCUACAGCUCUCCAGGUCUCAAAUCCAGGUGACUGUCAACCAUUUGAUUUUUUUCUCCUAUUCCUGCUAUUCUAUUUAUCAGGCAUAAAUAUAUGUAUUAAACACAGUAGUGUCAAGUUUUGCAAAAAAAAACAAACCAAAACAACAACAAAAAAAAAAAAAA
rnacentral:lncRNA from 1 species